rnacentral:rRNA from 1 species
GACGAACGCUGGCGGCGUGCCUAAUACAUGCAAGUAGAACGCUGAAGGAGGAGCUUGCUUCUCUGGAUGAGUUGCGAACGGGUGAGUAACGCGUAGGUAACCUGCCUGGUAGCGGGGGAUAACUAUUGGAAACGAUAGCUAAUACCGCAUAAUAGCAGUUGUUGCAUGACAACUGUUUGAAAGGUGCAAUUGCACCACUACCAGAUGGACCUGCGUUGUAUUAGCUAGUUGGUGGGGUAACGGCUCACCAAGGCGACGAUACAUAGCCGACCUGAGAGGGUGAUCGGCCACACUGGGACUGAGACACGGCCCAGACUCCUACGGGAGGCAGCAGUAGGGAAUCUUCGGCAAUGGACGGAAGGCUGACCGAGCAACGCCGCGUGAGUGAAGAAGGGUUUCGGAUCGUAAAGCUCGGUUGUAAGAGAAGAACGAGUGUGAGAGUGGAAAGUUCACACUGUGACGGUAUCUUACCAGAAAGGGACGGCUAACUACGUG